GGAGAAAUGGCUCAGUGGUUAAGAGCACUGACUGGAGGACCUGGGUUCAAUUCCCAGCAUCUACA
rnacentral:tRNA from 1 species